rnacentral:rRNA from 1 species
AGUCGAACGAGAAAGUGGAGCAAUCCAUGAGUAAAGUGGCGGCCGGGUGAGUAACACGUGACUAACCUACCUUCGAGUGGGGGAUAACAUCGGGAAACCGAUGCUAAUACCGCAUAACAUCGCAAGAUCAAAGCAGCAAUGCACUGGAAGAGGGGGUCGCGGCUGAUUAGCUAGUUGGCGGGGUAACGGCCCACCAAGGCGAAGAUCGGUAGCCGGCCUGAGAGGGCGCACGGCCACACUGGAACUGAAACACGGUCCAGACUCCUACGGGAGGCAGCAGUGGGGAAUUUUGCGCAAUGGGGGAAACCCUGACGCAGCAACGCCGCGUGGAGGAUGAAGCCCCUUGGGGUGUAAACUCCUUUCGACCAAGACGAUAAUGACGGUACUGGUGGAAGAAGCACCGGCUAACUCUGUGCCAGCAGCCGCGGUAAUACAGAGGGUGCGAGCGUUGUUCGGAAUUAUUGGGCGUAAAGGGCGCGUAGGCGGUGCCACAAGUCACCUGUGAAAUCCCCAGGCUUAACCUGGGGCCUGCAGGCGAAACUGUGGUGCUGGGGUAUGGGAGAGGUGCGUGGAAUUCCCGGUGUAGCGGUGAAAUGCGUAGAUAUUGGGGGGAACACCUGUGGCGAAAGCGGCGCACUGGACCAUAACUGACGCUGAGGCGCGAAAG